CUAGGAAAACUCUUGAACUACUCUCUUACAAGAAAGCGGAAUAUUCAAAAUAUUUCCAUAACAAUGAUAAUCCAAUCCUUUCAAGGGAAGAUGACGUCAGAGAAAUACCGAAUCAUAAACUUGCUCAAUUUUCCGAAAGCCUAACAAAAAUAAUGGCAUUAACGAAACGUAAUUUCUUAAUCAGUUAUAGAAUGCCUGUAUAUAUCCUACUGACAAUGCUUCUACCCUUGGUGCAGGCAACUCUUACAGUUUACACGUUUGGAAGAGACCCUGUUGGACUAAUUUUAGCCGUGUCCAACCAAGAAGGGAUUUGUCACCAGGGAGUUGGGUUAUCAGUAAGGGAACGAUUCGAACAUCGUUGGAGUUGUGGUUUCAUAGAAGAAAUUAUGAACGAUUCGCAGCAAAAGAUUAUUCUGAAAGUCUACGAAUCCAAGGAAGCGGCACGACAUUCCGUCGAACUAGGAGAUACGAUUGGAUUCAUGCAUUUUCCCAGAAAUUUUUCCCAGCACAAUUUAAACAGGUUAGCUUUUCACAGGCUCGCAACAAGUGAAGAUUUAGCCGGAAGCACGGUUCAAAUUUCGCUGGAUAUGACAAACAAAAUGACGACAAGCUUCGUACUAGAAACUUUACAAGGAAAAUAUUUCAAAUUUGUGGAAAAGAUGUUCAAUAAUUAUACCUCGAGCGGUUCUCAGUUUGAUUGGCAGGAUUACUUGCUACCUGGCGUUAUUCCGCUAGUGAUAUGUUUGUUCUCAAUGAUUUGCGCAUCAUCCUUGAUUAAAGAUAAGGAGGAGGGAACCCUGCAAAGAUCACGGGCAUGCGGAGUGGAGCUGUGGCAUAUCUAUGUAUCCUAUUACUUAUCCGAGUCUCCCACCACGCUGGCACAGAUUGGAAUUUAUUUUAUGAGCUAUCUCCUACUGGGUGGAUAUACGAAUAAGGGGUUUUUUUGGCUGUGUUUCUUAACUGCGGUCUUAUCAGGUUGGGUCGGGAUUGCGAUUGGGUCGCAUAUGUUUAUACUUUACUCCGUACCGGGAUUGAUUUGUUAAUAUCGUCUUACCGGAUUGAUGGUAUCAGCGGUCAGUUUUUUGUUCAACCGUAAUGCCCAGAGUAAAAGCAACAUAUCCUCCUUCCAAACCAUGGGAAGCCUGGGAUUGGCUGGUCGUGUUUUUGACUGCACACUUAAAAAUAUAAUGCUAAAUGCAAUGAUAUAGAACAGAUUGAAAUAAUCGAGAUCGGUUUGUGGCAUCAUACGUAUGACCUCAGGGGGUGGAUCCUAUCAACUUUUGGGAUCAAUCGGACAAUUCCCCCUAGCACUUGGCGGUGUGGUCGGCGGAAAGGUAGAUUUUUACUAAAUGCGAAACUUGAUUGGAUCCUCUCCCUGGGGUCAUAUGUAUAAUGCCGCAAACCGAUCUCGAUGAUCUCCAUUCGUUCAAUAUUAUAACAUGUAACAUUAAAUUUUUAAGUGUGCAGCCAAAAAUAGACCAGCCAAUUCCAGACUUCCCAUCGUUUGGAAGGAGGCGCUUCCACACAUAUGAUUCUCACUCUGGUGGUAAUGCCCUUUAUUACUUACCAGUGCCAGUAGAGUCAUAAAUGUACUCCGGGCUACUUAUCGGUACAGUUUUGUCUCGGAGUAUGGAAGUCGUAAUGUUUUCGCUCAUGGCACUAUUAGCCACAUUUUAUUCCAGUGGAUUUUCUUGGCCUU